rnacentral:lncRNA from 1 species
ACUUGAAUCAAGCUACUCCCAGCUUCUGCACACAUCUGGUCCAACACUACUUUGGGAUAUGUUUUGCUAAGGUUGCUGUUCUGCCUGGAAGGCCCUCAUUCCUCAGCUGCAUGACCCGAGGUUUCCUUCCUCUAAGACCUUGCUAGCGGCUCCUAGAUGCCUUCCAAACCAAAUUCUCUUCUAUGAGAUCAGCUCUUAGCUUUGUAUUCCCUGGCACUUAUGGAGUAUGUUAUGGAGGUAUGUUAUUUUGGCCUUGCUUAUGCUGUCUAUUUGUUGUCUGUGUGUUACUCUUGUCUUCCUUGGACAGUCAAAGACCUUGUCUCCAGUUUUUUCGUAUUCUUCAGUGUAAUUAGUGUAAUGCUUUGAAGAUAAGAAAAGAAUAUAAAGAAAUGCC